rnacentral:rRNA from 1 species
CAGUCGCCGCGGUAAAACGAAGGGUGCAAGCGUUACUCGGAAUUACUGGGCGUAAAGCGUGCGUAGGUGGUGGUUUAAGUCCGUUGUGAAAGCCCUGGGCUCAACCUGGGAAUUGCAGUGGAUACUGGGUCACUAGAGUGUGGUAGAGGAUAGUGGAAUUUCCGGUGUAGCAGUGAAAUGCGUAGAGAUCGGAAGGAACAUCUGUGGCGAAGGCGACUAUCUGGGCCAACAGUGACACUGAGGCACGAAAGCGUGGGGAGCAAACAGGAUUAGAUACCCCGUAGUCCCUGUCUCUUAUACA